rnacentral:lncRNA from 1 species
GAUUUACAGAUGUGCAUCCAAUCUCGGUUUUGGAAUGGCCUCCUCUUCCCAUCCUGUGAAGUGGACAGAAGCAUCUCAACAUCAGAUUGCCCAUCCCACAAUGAACUGAGAUAGUGCAUAGGAGUGUUCAGUGCAUUCCUAACAGGU